UGAGCUCUGCCUGGAAGAUUUGAAGUGCAUACAUUUCAUGGUUUGGUUUCUGACUUCUGAGAAUGGAUUCUAAAGACACGCAGGGAGAAUAUGAAACUGGGCUGGAAUUUACCAUUCAGGAAAGUCUCAAGCUGAAAGGGAGAUAAAAUCCAGUUAAAUUUUGGGAGAUUCCUGGAAGCAACUAUCCAGCAAGAAGGAUGCACAUCAUUGAUGAGGACCUCCUCCUAGGAACAAAGAACCAGGAAAAGAAAGCAAUCAAGGAAAAAAAGUGAGUGUGAACCAGAACAGAAAUGGAGAAAGACUGAAGAGGGGGAAAAAAGUAGAAAACCUAAGAAAGCCAAAAAGCCUGAAGAUAAACAUCAAAGGUGCUACAAGUAAGCAAGGGUUCCAGCAUCAUCAGCAAUUCUUUUCUGAGUGUUUCUCAUGUCUUCCUCUUGUUCCUUGUUUCUAACUUAGCUAUAGAAUGUGAUCUGCAUGGGGGCUCUGUCAUUAGGUUGAUCAAGUGAGGAUAGGAAAGAUACUGGUGAUCUGAGUUCCGACAGAGAUUGGGUCCACAUUGUUAGAAUCACAUCUGCUCGCUGUUCUUGAUGAGGUUAUGGCAAUUUUAUUCAGUUGCACACAUUCCAGAAACAGACAUUGUUACUGAAAUAGUUUCUGAAUGAAAUAUGAUCAUCAAAGGACAUGUUCGCGUUUUCAGAUAUGGACGACCAGAAGUUUUAAUCUGAAAAUACAAUUUGGGGAGGAAGCUGAUUGUUCACAAGUCCUUGUAUAAACUUGGAUAGUGUAUGUAUCCCUUUCCUCAGAAAAAAUUAAGGACUGGACCGAGGACUUAAAAAUAUCACUGCUCUAAAUCCAGUUUUUUCAUGAUAUUCAUGACAGAGGCAUCCUGAUUGUACUUAAUCUGAUUGUACUCAGGAGCCGCGUGCAUCUGCUCCGACACGCUGUGAGUUCUGUGGCCAGCAGAUGGCGAACUCCUUUCGUUUUUCAAAGCCAGGUAGAAGUGCAGCAGGAAAGUGGAAGUCUUGCAUCCCACUGCAGCAGCCAGGGCAUUCAGGUUAUUGGGCUGUGCCAGUGAAAGAGAUGUCCCUUGAGAGAUGUGACAGUGGUACCCCGCAGGCAGGGCAAAGGGGGCUGUGCAAAGCAAUUGCAUUUUGUCAAGGAAGAGUGGGUGGUAUUUCCUCAUUACUCCUUGUGGUGGUCAGUGUUUAAGAGGAAAGGGGUGGGGGGAGGGGAAAGAGGGGUCUCUUAAGCAGGAUUGUCUGUGAUUUGAGGAAAAUCCAGAUUGGUGGGAGGAGCACUUCAUUUCCUUCACUCCUAUGUGUUCUCUCUAGCAAGUUUGUAAAAGCUUCUGCUGUCGUGGCUAUUACUCAGUCAGUUUGACCACAAGAUCAUUCACAGAACAAGGAUGUUGUCCAAGCAAACCUUCAGGUUUGUUUGCCGUUUGCUGUUAAAGCAGGUAGUUUUGUCCUCCUGUUCUCUACUGUUAGUUAGCAUAGCACUGAAAUACAGGCACGUUUACUGUGAGGCUCUUGGAAGCCACCUCAGUCAGCUCGGUCUGGGAUCACAGGUCAACUGUGCGCAGCUUUGUGACUGACCUAGAACUGCUGAACCAGUUACAUGUUGCAUCUCAGAACAGGGAUGACAGUGCUUCCCUUUUCCUUUCAGAUGCAAACUACCAAUCAGCACCAUCACCUCACUAUAAAGAGAGCCAACAAGGACGAGACUUGCUGUACUAAAAAAGCUCUCCAUCAAAUCCAGGCUUUAACCUCUGAAACCAACCACUCAGCGUUAUCAAAAUCAGCAUCUUAAUUAUUCUUUUCUUUAAUCAGUAAUUCCCUUUCAUGACAAUGCAGGGCUUUUAGGUCUUUAAACAAAUGUAAUCUUAAUUGAAUAAAGAAAUAAAAAUUAAUGGCCACUUUGAUCUCUCAGAUCCCCCUCCUCCUGCAGCAGCCAGGCAUCUGUCAGCUCUCCUUAGCACUUUCCUUUUGGACAGCCUCUGGUCUUGUGUGCAACACAGGAACUUCACUGGCUGUGCUCGUGAGGUGAGCAUAGCAGAGCUCCUCUGGGGAGUUCCAGUCUGACUCUGGAGUCACCUCCCACUGAAGUGCAGCUGUUCAGAGGGAAUGACUGCUCUUACUGCACGUGAGCAGGGAACCUGCCUUAAUUACGGUUUCAUCUGAAUAAGUUGUCUGGUGUGUUAAGAAGGGUGCUUACAGGAGCAGUUAUCAUCCAUGCUAUAAAUUGACUCCAUCUCUACACACAAAUCUGACCAAUUAACACUCAGCUCUGCUAAAUGAGGAGCUCUACAACAGCAUAUAGUUUCACACUUUAUUUUUGAGAAUGUCCAGGUUUAAGCAAAAGGUCUUAAUGAUAAAUGACAACGUUAAUAUUGCAGUGGAUUUACACAGAACAUUACAUUUUUAACAAUGAUUGAUACGGAGUAUUUGUCAUGCAAAUUACUUGUGUACACCAAGUAAUGCUUAUAUCAAUACAUAUCUGUACAGAAUUUACAUCUUAUAUUUAUACUCUAACUAGAAACAUUUUCCAAGAAAAUAUAGAAAAGAAACUGGUAAGCCACAAGUCUUCAUUUGUAGCAUUUGGUCUACAACAGACCCAGCUUUUCCAGCAAGCAUAUCUACAUAGAUAUGUAAUAAACUUUAAAAAAUAUGUAUUGUUUUUAUAUAUGAAGCAUUAUAAAUGCUGCUUGGGUUAUAAAGGUUGUUUUGUACCGGUUUAAAACUGUUCAAGAUGUUAAGCAGUGUAGAACUUACUUUGUCAGAGUAUUGUAAAAUUUAAGUCAGUCCAGCUGAGCUUAAGUGUUGUGUACAGUUCUCUCCCCAGACUGCACUGGCACCGUGGCUGAAGGUAAUGGCCACAAGGUUUGGAUAUUAGAGAAGCCAUACUUGUGGCAGAAGCAGUAGUGGCUCUUGCUAGCUCCUGCAGUUUCAGAAGGCAAUGGUAAAACCAAAGAGCUGAACAAUUACACAGCUUUCAGUGCAACAGGAAGGGAGAAGGCUGUUAUUCCCAGGGGACUUUUCCUCAGCACGGCCAAACGCUAGCAGGUAUUGCUUUAGGCCACAGAGCAGCUCGCUGUGCUAAGCUACACCUGGACUUGAGGCCCAAUCGGGAAGGGAAAGGUUGAGAGAUUUUUCUUUACCCUCAUGGAUAGUACCUGAACUUGGCCUGAACUUUCACAAGCCACUUUGUUUUACUGGCCUCGUGACCAGUGGAAAUUCUGGGCCAGUUUCACUCCGUGUUAAUACUGUUACAAAUAAAACAACCACCAUUUAAAAUCAAAUAUCAUUACAAACAAGAAAGACAUUCCAUUAGCUUUGGUAAAUUAAAUAGCUAUAUUGAGCACCGCAAGUAGCUGUUUUAGAUCUCACAUUUUAAUGCUACAAAAUACUAUAUUUCCUGCUAUAGUAUCCUCAGAUAGCUGUUACUGUGAAUAAUUACUUGUGCAGGAUAUAAGAACUUCCAGCUAAGUACAGCAAAUGAACUCUCAAGGCAUUUCCUUCAUGCUUAUCAGCAGACUUCCUCAUCUGGUUAAAUAAAUACACUUUCUUGCAGAUGAUAUCUCAGAAGAUAAGAAUCAAUUUUAAAAAAAGUGCUUCAUGGCUUAUAAGUGUUUUGGUAAUCUCAUAUUUCUCCGGGCAUAGACUUUGCUGUGUUUUACCUUUGCACUCACUGGCUCCUGUGACAAAUCUCAUCCAGAGCUGCAGCUGGGGAGUGCAUGGCUUCAAAGGAGAAGGCGAAGUUGUGCAGCAGAAGACUCAAGUCUUCUAGCAGCUGCUUUGCAGACACAGCAUCUACAACUUCAUUUGUUUCCAUAGAGUUCAAAUGGCUUUCAUUAAACAAAGAUAGCCCACAGUGAUACUUACUAAUAAUAAGUAUUGGGAUUCUACCUCCUUUGGCUGAGUUUUGCUUCUCACUCAGAUCUGAGCAUUCAUCCAAGCAGCCUGCAGUUCCACACGCUCUGGGGAAGGGUGACCCCAGUCUGUUUCAGCCUUGUUCUGAAGCAUGCAAGAAAGCAGAACAGUCACAGGCUGAAACCCUGCGCAAAGCAAUGCAAAUCUGUAAGACAGCAACCACAAAUCAAACAGCACUUUAAGGGUAAAAUGAGAUUUGAAAAAGGUAACUUAGUGUUACAGCAGAAUUCCCUGUUGUGUAUCCAAGAAGCAAAACUGCUUUGGCAUCACACUGGCUCACCAUUGGCACAGCAGACAUGGCUCAGGGUCGACAAGACAGGAAAAAUGAAAGCACUGCUGGAAGUAGUAGGAUCCAAAGAAACUUCCUGCCCUCGCUGUGCAGUGAGGGGCUGCACCUCAAGAAUGUUAUGUGCACUGCCACCAGGAAGUGUUGUGACAGAACGCGCCUCAGCACGAGACCCUGACCAGCUUCCAUACGUUGUAAGAAACUGUGCAGGGGCUGACUGCAGUCAGGUUGCGUUCUUGAGGUAAAAAGAGGGAUAUCUACUCGUGUUUUCAACUUCAGCUACUGAAGUGCAAGUCUGAAACAAAUAUCUUCUAAGAAUGUAAUGAAAAUAUUUAAAUUCUUUGUAUGUUCAAAGUUUGUUAUCAAGCAAAGGAAUGAAUCAGUGCUGCUUGCUCACCUACUAGGGCUGUAUCUUACAGGAAGAAUACACUAGCCUGGCUUUUCUCCCUUUAAAAACAUUAAGUGCAUGUGAAAUUAUUAUUUCAGGCUGUUUUCACAUGCAAAGCCUGAACCCUUGCAACUCGUGCACGCUCUGUCACCUUAUUCCUUUAAUACUGUUAGUUAAACUACAAUAUAUCUAAAACAUAGGAAGGAUGUUACUACAGAAAAAGCAGAUUAAACCAGUCAUUAACUCUCACCGCUUAUCGUGUGAGCAGACUGGAAAGAGUUUUUGCCUUCUGGCAAAUACCAAACCACAUCUAUGCAGUGUUGUGGCUGCAGACAGGCCUUUGCUGGUGGGACCUGCCUGUGUUUCAGUGCAUUCACUCCAACCCUUUGGCACAACUGGUUAAUGAUGUAGCUGCCUGUCUGACACUGAGCUGCACUUCCAAAGAAGAAAAACUGCUUCUAGAAGGUGGAUCAUGUGCUCUAAAUGAAAGCUUCAUUUACUGCAAGACAUAAGACUUGAAAACUGAGAUUGUGGGUUUCCUGCCUACAGAAAAGUGCCAGGCUGCCCUCUACUCCAGUUUUUAGUGUUGCAUUUUACUGAGAAAGAAGUACUUCAAAUGCUUUUCCCAUUUAUGGGCACUGAGCUCAAGAAGCAGGUAUAGGAUAUUUUACCAUUCUUUCCCUCCCAGUCCACGCCAACUGUAGUUACAACUAACACAAGUGGAAACAAAGCUUCCAUGUCGUCAGUUAAAUUAAGUUCCAAGAAAAUUAUCCUCUGGGAUUUGAAGCUUACUUCAAAUUAUAUGCCAAUAACUACGCUGAAAGGUCUUGCCGAGAUUUUAUGUCAUAGUAAAGUGUGUGUGUAUAUAUGUAUAUAUACAUGCACACAUUAUAUAUAUAUAAUUUUAUAUAUAUAUAUAUAUAAAUGUACAGUUACUGUCUUCCUUUAGUUUGCCCAAGGUUUACAUUACACUCCAUUAUAGCCCAUGUAGAAGUGGAUGCAGGUAUCCAUGCUACCCAUCAAGUCCUAUUUCUUGUUUGCAAUUCUUCGUUUCCUUGUCGCCAGCAUGUCGUAAAAGGGGUCCCUGCUGAUACUUGCUCUAGAAGAAACAACACGAAUUGUCAGUUUGGUUAACAGUUCUCUGCUUUUGGAAACUGAAAUUUGUUCUCUCUUCCCUUUGGCUGGCUCCCCACUUCUAAUAAGAUAACGGAUUGCUGACCUACAAUCACAGCACAGCUCACGUUGGAAGGGACCCACAAGGACCACUGAGUCCAACUCUCAGCUCCACCCAGGACGAUCCAAAAUCCAAACCCCAUGUCGGGGAGCGGUGUCCAAACACUUUGUGAGCGCUGGCAGCACGGGGCUGUGCACACCACCUUUGUUGGCCUGGUCCAUGCCCACUGCCUUCUGGUGGGCACCUUCCCCUGCCCCCCAUCCACCGCUCCUGACAGCUCCGUGCCAUUCACUGCGCCCUGUCACUGUGCCAGGGAGCAGAGCUCAGCGCUGCCCUCCACUCCCAGGGAGGAGCUGCGGUUCCUCUGACCAUCAGAAGUAUUUGUUUAUAAACAGAGGGUGCUUAGCUAUAAUUUGUUAAAGAGUUCAUACUUCCAUCUUGAACAUAACUUGAACAUAACUUGUUCCUUUAAGUUUGGGUCUGCUAUAUAAACCUCAAGUUGAAUUCAAAUUAUAAAAGUUCUGAGCCGCACUGUGAACAAGCUCAAGAUAGCUGUCACCAAACACAAGAAGAACAGCAUAAAAUCAGGGUUAGGGUUGGUUCUCAAAAGGCUUUACAUUUGCUGAAAAGAUUCAAUUUUAAAAAAAAACAAAACAUUUUCUUCAUUUGAGUUAGAACCUGCUAUGGUACUUAGGACCAGACAGCCUGACUCAUCCACCCCAAAGAUCCUGACCUUAAUCCCAGAGGAUAUUGCCGAAUCAGAACUCUUUAAACAAGUUAAAAUGCAAGGUCUCUUCAUAUCUUAUUCAGAAAAGGAGCUUACGCUUCAUUUCUGAAAGAUAUUUAAAACUCUGAACUCACUUGAUGGACUUAAUCCACUCUUCUUUUUCUUCUGGAGUGGGAGCAGAUAUUCUGUACACUACGUGGUUGCCUUCCACCACUCUGCCAUCAGCUUCAGUUUUACAGGCUUUAAUCACUUGGCCUUUAUGACUGGGAUUAUAGAGCUCAAAGCAGUUCUGAAGGGCAGGAAUGGAAAAAUAUGUUAAAAACAAAGCAAAACAAACAACCCAGAAACAAAUUCAUUUACUACAAUCUCAGUUCCAAAUGUUUUACUUAUUCACUGAAAAAAUGAUAACGAGGGUAUCUUACUGGUUUUCUAGGGUCUUCAACUUCUCUUAUGCUAAGAUUUUCUAAUGGAAUAAUCCCUCUAGGUUCUUUGUCCUAAAAAAAAAAAAAAAGAAAAUACUGCCUGAUUAUUCCUUGCCAUACCCAGAGAAUAAAGGAAGCUCGCAGCAGUGUAUACUCACAGUGGUGUAUUCAAAGUAAUACAGGCAGUUAUCAGUCAAAAUGAACCACCUUCGUUUCCAUGUUUUUACUCUUCCCCCUAUAACCAAAAGGCAUUGAUAAGUUGAACACGUCACUGUCAGGGCUUCAGCAAGUGAUAAGAAGAAAGCAAUUGAGUUUUGUUUGUUUUUCCAAUAUAUAUUUUAAUUGCUUAAUUGCAGAUGGAUCAGGCACAGAUGAGCUGAGGUUAGGAACAUUUCUGUAACUUGUACAAAGCUCCUGAGUCAGCAUUAACUAUGGUGCACAAAAGCAUUAUGGCAGGAGUCUGUACACUCUCUCAGGUUUCACCCAAACCCAAGGGCUCAGCAGAGCCCUGAUACUACUGCUGUACAGCCCUCAGAAAUGCAGAGCCAGUGCUGCUAUGGGAAAGCAGCAAAGCAGGAACUGGGCUCCAACCACGGGGCCAGCCCUGCCCACAGCCUGCCUUUUCACAAGGAUGGGGUCUCCUCAGUAAAAUUCAGGACAUUUUAUCACCUUCCUUCCACUUGUGACUUCACACGUGAUUAUGAACCUCUCUGUAGUUCUGCAUUUAGCAUCCAGUGUGUUAAGUGCUUAUAAACACUGCUGCUUGCAAGCAGAACAAAUCUGAUGAGUCAACAACAAGGAGCAAAUGCAGAAAUCCUACACCAAAGUGCUUGUACUCACUUUCAAUAAUUUAUUGUUCUCCUAAUGGGAGACGUGCCCCUGAGUACAUCUGACAGAAGGCACAGCUCCUGCUCCAGAAAUGCCAUCAUUUCCCCACAGCAGCAGCUGCUGCACUGCUCACUCACGCCUGCUGAUGUCCCGCUGCGUGGAUCAGCUCCUUGCAGGAACACACAUUGCUGUCAGUCCUUCCAUCCCCUGUUCUGCCUAAGAACCACUCCAUUAUCCCAUAAGUGAAACUUUCAAGAAUCAUUUCCAGGGAAGAGGAAGUAAAUAAAGAACUCCCAUGUGACAAACAUACAGGCCGAGUUCCACCAUAGCUAAACGACUUCAGGAUUGAGGCUCCACCUGUGCAUCAUCCAUCCAGCAAUCAGUCACUCUCAUUAUUCCUACUGUCUCCAAAUAAUUGGUUUUCCUACUGAACACCCUUGCACAAAAUAGUUCUGUGAAUACACACAAGGUUCCCCAUUUAUUUAAAGUCAUAAACAAAUUUAAGAAAGAAUUUUUUAGCCAACUGCUCUUCUUCAGAUAGUGGGAAUUUUGUUGAUACUCUGGAUUUCAGUACUGAAGUUAAAAAGCAGUUCUGGGGAUCUCGUUUUGUUUUAGAUCCAUAGACAAGUAUUUGCAGUGCAGACCAAGUCCUGCUGCAUGCUCCACCUUCCGUUCAGUCGGUUUUAGGACCUCAGGAUAACGCAGUGCAAACACUGCAGCAUCCAGAGGACUCAGAUUUUAUGCUUCCACUACACACACACACAUCUCAAGAAAAAAUUAAUCUGCAAGCAGGUGUGGUGAAAUAAGAGAAGGCAAAAUAGUGCAAGAUGCAAAAGCUGUGACAGAAUGGAUGGUUGAGUGAACUGGAGACAGUGAGGGAAGAACUGGUGGCAUUUGAGUACAACCACUGUGACAGGUCCUUAAAUAAGGCACUGUAGAAACACUCAAACUGGCACGUAAGUCACUACAGAAAUUCCCAUUGCUUGACUGAGAGCUGGUUCAAGCAGCACCAGGUAUUCGGUCUGGGAACAGAAAGCCAACAAACCACACCCUGAUUCACUUCUGGAUCAAUGAAAAAGCAGCAGCCAAGUCAAGCUGACUGCCAGGGCAGUCCAUCCUUUCACUCUACCACCACGUUUUUCAUGCAGUCCAAGGGUCACUGCACUGUUAACUGCUGCUCCCAUCCCUCUCAGCCAGCCAGGUUCUGCAGCUCAGCUGAGUGCCAUAACAAGAGCACAGGUGCCUUUUCCACCAAGCAAUGCGUUACUCUUCCAUAAAAAAGGCAUCGAAGCAGGACUUUUUUCUUCCAAAACGAUCAACCGUUCUCAAAUAUAAGCCUGUAUCUCUACCCCAAUACUCAGCUGCAGCUGUCCAGCAGAACAGAAACUCUUUAAUAAACUUGAAAGGCAAUCUGAUCUGCACUCAUCAUGGUUGCAGGCAUCCCUGUACAACGUGCAUUUAAUCUGCCCUUACCGUGGGCUAAAAGCAGGAAGCUGGUUGAUAAGGCUGUACUGACCACAAACACAGCGCACAAGAUUAAUGUGUAGGAACUAUUGAUAACAAAAUGUUAUUUUUCUUGGCCAAGAUUGCUGCAGGCUCACAAAACAUCACACUGCUUAGUGCUGUGCUCCCUGCCUUAUUCCAGCCUUUUAAAGAUUACAGCUAAGAAGGCCUCAUUUAUCAGAAGAGGACCAAGGCAAUCAGCGUAUGAAUCCAUAAAGCUUUACAGAAAUGGACAGAUGCAGAGGAUGUACUUCUCAAAGAUCCAGUUGAUAAAUUAAAAUGCAAAGACAUCUUAAAUAACAAAAUAAAGCAGUGUAUCAUCUUGUUGGCAGAAUUCUAAGGGAACUACACGUAAAGGCCAUAACAAGGCCAAGUGCAGACAAAGAGGGAUACAGAUCUUCUUUGCCUACAUAACCCAACACAGGAAUAAUUUUUUUCCAGCUCUGGGUGACAUAAGAGCACAGCAAGGUACCAGAAAUAAAACCCACACUCAGGAAGGCCCUCAGCUUCCUGACUGCUGCUCCCCCGUUGGAUUUGAGAAAAGCAGAGCCAUCCUCCCAAGGACAGAAGCACUGCAACAAACACCACAGGCACAGCAGGCAGUGAGGCACCAGGAUGAGCAACCACCUGAUGGGCAGCCGAAGUUCACAUCUCGUGUCAGGCUGGAGUCGCUUCCUGUCCUGUUCAGAAGAGCAACAUCACAGCUUUCCUUUCCCCAGAGGAAAUCACACACACCAAGCUGCUUGCCAGCUGAAGCCAUUUCAGACACAGAAAUGCCCUCCCUGUUGCUGGGCACUACCAAAAAGAAUCUGUCCCCAUCCAUGUGACACCCAUCCUCUAGUUGGUAAGAUCCCCUGUUGGUCUUCUCCAAGCUCAACAGCCUCAGGUGUCUCAGCCUUUCCUCCUAAAAGAGAUGCUCCAGGACUCUCAUCAUCUUUGUGGCUCUCCACAGGACUCUCUCCAGUAGUUCACAACAUAGGCUUAUUAAAACCACCGACAGAAAAGCAACUGGCUGAGUCUAGCUAGCUAAAACCAGAGGUGCUGCCCAACACCCAGUCUGGUGCUUGAAUUUGCACUGAGCCACAGCUGAACUGAAUUCAGAGCAGGAAGCUUCACGAAAGCAAGCAUUUUUGAAACAUGGCUUUCUAAAGCACAAUGCCAGGCUCCAGAGCUAGGGAAGUCUUUAGGAGAAGCAAACUGUAUGACAUAUCAAAGACUGACAACAUCCAUCUCCUGCCCAAAGAAUAAUCAACAUGGUGAGUUGGCACAAGGAGCCAAAUGGGAAGAGAAGCAGUAAGAAGUACAAAAUAAGGACUUGAGAGACUCUGGAUUUAAAGGCUCAUCUUCAUUGUUUUAUAUAUUAAAAAAACUCUUCAGCAAAUAUUAAUACAGUGGAGCACUUAAACUCACAGCCUGGAAUACAAUCUCCAUCAAUUUCAGAAUGUUUCCCAACAGAAAGGACUGCAGAUGGUCUGUAGCAAUGCAGACAGUGUGGAUGAAGGCAGCACCCCCUCACUGUUUAAACCUCCUAGCAAGCAGGAAACUCAAGGGAGAGAAAAACAAAGAAAGAAGAAAAAAAGCACUGUUUAUUUCUGGUCAAUGCACACAACCCAGCAAAGUGCAUCUGUGUGCACCCUAUUCAGAUAACCUGCUGCUGCGAGGCCAGGCUGCAGCUUGUAGUCCCAUCCACAUGUUUGCUGCUGGGUUUCCAUGUGCUGCCUCUCAUCACACCGUGCUCAAAGCCAGAGCCAGAGAUCACUUCUACAGAAGCACCUGGCAGCGCUCAGCCACUCUUUUUUGUUCCAUUUCUUUGUUCCUUCUACAUAUUUAUUUAUGUAGAUCUCUCAUAUGUGUUCUGUUGACAACUUCUUCCAUGGUGUAUGGCUGGUACUCCUCUACAUACACAGCACUCCUAUUUAUACUGUGUGUGCAUAAACUUACGAGUGAACGGAUAUAAAUGUGCAGUUUUCACUGUAUUCAGACAGUUUAUUCCCAACCUCCAGAACAAGCAUUUUUUUCUACUUUGUCUUAAAAGCUUUUCAGCUGAGAUAGCUAUUGCCUCAUACUAUAACAUGGAGAAAACCUGCAAAGUCGUCUUUGAAACUGUAGCAGCUCAGCCACUGCAUGCCAAAAUGAGCAAGGAAUCAGCUCUGCUCUUUUUUGCAGUUAGACAAAGAGUCUCUCUAUAGUGGAGAGGUCAAAACCAGACGUUGCAGAGCACCUGAACAAUUUACAAAUAGCUGCUCAUGUGUCCUUCCAGCAGUAGCACAACUGCUGGUUUCCAAACACCAGCAGAGAGCCCACGGCUCUCCCUUGCUCAACUUUCACCACAGUGCACAGCCCACCUCUCACCCCAAGCGCGGAUCCCUCUUCACACUGCAGUCACCAUUCUCCAAGUGUGAAGUGCCCUCUUCUUUAGUAAGUUCAAGUGGCCUAACACUGGCUCCAAUGGAGUGUGUCACUACUGGCUUUGUAGAAAAGAGAUUUAUUGCAUCGGGAAAAAAAGCAAAUGAAAAAGACAAAUUUUACUGCCUUACAGAGGAGAAGAGUCCCUGAGCACAAGUAAAGCUGAUGGGAUUCGUUUGUUUAACUGAGGCCGUAACACAGCGCAGUGCCAGGGGACUGCAAAUCACCAAAGGUUCCAGCCCCCCUAAACUUCACACUAAUUUAAGAAUGUAUUUGGCUUGCUCAGUAGGAUGUUUACAAAAGAAAAUACGCAGGAAGAAGAGCAGCUGUGAUGUAUGUGAAGUUCCAAUGCAAUCAGGUUUUUCCAAAAUUCUAAUGUACAGAUGUACAAGUAACAAAAUCACGCUGGAUCUUCAUUAUAAGAGCACAAAAUGUUUUUCUCUUGGUCAAAAUUGUUCUUCUAGUUAUAUUCUUCAGUGAAUGCAGUGAAGUCGUCUCUUUUUCUGCUUUCCGCUUAAACACCUUCUUUUGCAGAAGACACUUGCACAUGAGCUAGACACUCAUGCCAGCCUUUGUGGACAGAAUACCUCUGAUGAUACUGUUAGUGACACCGAGUGAAAAAGCAAAAUGCUACAAUAAAUUUAAGAAAAAAUAACUAAGAAAACUAAAAGAAAACGACAAAAAAAAAAAGAAAAAGAAAACAGAGGAGGGAGGAGGAAGAAAAUAAAAGAAUGAGCAACUGAACAAGAGGGCACUGGAAAGCAAUCAGAUACGUACCUCCUAAUGCAGAAUAAGCAGAGACAGCCAGUCACAGAACAGAAAGGUGAUAGGUCAUAGGCCAUAAGGAAAACAAGAAGGCACAUUUAAACCACUCAUUAAAAAAUCAUAGCCAAAACCAAACCAAGAGAAACUCACAAAUAAUAUGGAAAAAUAAAGACACACAAAAAUAACUCUCUGACAAGAAAUCCUGUUUUUGCACACAGAAAACUGAGCUGAAAUUUGACAUGAGUUCUGUGCAGUGACUACACGGAGGUUUGGCUGUUAUCUAUCCAUCACGGCACACGGCACCACACCGAGUUUCCUUUCUGUUGCUGAGUUUUCAGUUCUCAGAUACCAGAAACAAAACUCCAAAGUCUGAAAAAAGAUUGCUGGUUUGUAUACGUGAAAUAAGGAGUAACAACCUUCAGUUGUAAAGGAGUUACUUAUUUUGGCUUACACAUUUUUAAGUGUAAAUUACAGUGUGAACCGUUUUACAUUGAUAAGGAAGCAGCUGGACACAGGAGCAGCAGACACACAAACAACGAACAGACACAGCAGCCAGGCUGCUCUCGGAACUCACCUAAUUUCAGCAGCCAACCUUCUCUAUCUGGAUUAAAAAAUGUAUGCGUUAGAUCAUUUCCAUCAUCCUCUGGAAUUUUAAAUGGCUCAUUCUUAAUACUUUCAUAUAAAUUCUAGAAGAAUAAAAAAAGAGGAAAAAGACCUCGUUAGUAACGUCCAUCAGAAAGUACAACAAUGUCCUACUGCUUCUCAGUUUCUUUGUACAAAAAGCAAAGGAAAUACUGCCAAAAAUUUCUGGACCAUCCAUUCCCAAUUGUUGUUCACUUCUCUGAGUGACCAGAAGGAAGCUCCGCAUGCACAUAACUGAACAGACCAGCAGUGCUAAGACACUAUGCCCUUCUGUGCAGGAUGGGAGAGCUCUGUUGGCUUUUUAUGGCCUAAGUACUUCUAGAGGAUGUAAUUCAAUAGAAAACUGAGCUGCAUUUCUAACGGAGGGGAGUCACUUGAAGCAAUGAGACUGGCAGAAGUGUAUUUCACCUUAAUUUCCUGGAUUAAUUGUGGAUUUCCAUAAGCAACACUGCAUGCUUCACAAGGUAAAUAUGAAUAAAGUAGGAAGAAACUGCUUGUACCAAAGUCUACCUCUGUGCAACUGCACAUAAGCAGUAAUUCUGGCCUGCAGUGCUCUUGCACCCAUAGGAACAAGUGGAAGAAACGGACGAAGAAGGGGACAGCAAAGAAAAUGAUCUGUUUGGCUGGGGCUUUGUUUCAACCCAUCUCUGUGCUGAGAUAUCAAAUUGUCUUCAAAUGUUCGCAUUUGGCAGACACACCAAAAAGGCACAGCUACAAACAAUUGGAGGUGCUAAAACAGAACCGCCUCUGCUAAGCUGCCUAGUGAGGUACAGAGUCAUGCUGUGUUACAUCAGCUUUCUGACAAGCAGAACGCAGUGACUCCUAUGAAUGUGCAAUUUAAUGCAGGAAGAAAAACAGAAAGACUUUACUCACCGUAAGGCUUGUACAAGAUUGAGAUCAGCAAACUCAUGGAGUUCAACAAAAGCCUGAAGAACUUUAAUAUUAAAUUCAUCUCUGUGAAAGAGAAAAAUGGAAAUAAACAAUUACAAUGCUGAACUUCAAAGCCUUUAGUUACCUCUAUCUUUUUCUUAUAGAAUAAGCAAACAUAUUAUAGUGAUCAAGCCAAACCAAAUGAAUUGCUGUCACGUUCAAUUUUAAUUGCUAGUGUUUUGCCCAUUUCUGCUAGCAUUUAAAAGCUAAGCUAUCAAGAGCCACUACACCUGAAUAGAUUUCAACACUGCUUUUUUAAACGCCCUGAAAGUGGCCUGUCUUGCUUUGCUUCAUAUUUGUUCUUCUUGCACCUACCCUCACAGGGGAAAAUACUUGAUAAUAAA